rnacentral:lncRNA from 1 species
GCCAUUUGCCUGUUUGGAUUUUGAACCAACACUUAAGCUCCAAGAAAUUUAAAGUAACAGAAACAGGGAUUCUCUGUAUAGCCCUGCUGUCCUGGAACUCAUGCUGCAGAUGAGGCUGACCCUUGAAGUGAGAGAGCUGCUUGCCCCUGCCUUCUUACUGCUGAGAUUAAAGCUCUCUCUUCCACGUUUCCACCGUAGCUCACCAAGCUUUGAGCAGUCGACAGCUUCUCCAGCCUGAAAUUCCAAAGUCCUUUCAAAGUCUUCCCCAAAGCAACACGGUCAGGUUUGUCACAGCAAUGUCUCAUAAACCUGGUACCAAUCUCAAUUGUGAUUGUUAGUUUUUGUCAACUUGACAGAAACCUAGACAAAUCUGAGGAAUCGCCUCCAUCAGAUUGGCCUGUAGGCAAGCCUAUGAGGGAAUUUUCAUGAUUUAUUUUGGAGGGCCUAGCUCACUGGGAAGAAAGUCCUGGGUUGUAUAGGAAAGCAGGCUGAGCAGGUCAUGGGGAGCAGGCCAGUAAGUAGCACUCCUUCAAGGGCCUUGUUUCAGUUUCUGCUUUCAGAUUCCUACCUGGCGUUUCUGCCCCGAUUUCGCUUCAUGAAGGUACUACAUGAUUAUAUGUUAGGACUUUAUUGGGAUCAAGAUAUUCUGGAACAAAGAUUUGCAAGAUCUGGGACAUCAUGGACAAGCUGUGCCUGAAGAUGGAAGGCAAGAUGGUCUGUGUAUCAUUUUUGAGAUAAACUCAGUGUAAACUAUAAGGCAAAGACAUGUUCGAAUUUAAUCUACAUAUAACACCCAGCAUGGAGAGAAUCAGAAACCAAGAGCAUGGUGUACUCAGUCUAACCCACAGGUUAUGGGCCAGAGCUUCAUAAUGAAAUAGUGAAAUGAGAAUGUAUGUUUUUUAUCAAGGAGUUCAUUGUCCUUUCUGGAGGCAGGGCUGACACAGCGACCUCCUCAUGUGGAAUCACCCGGAACCAUUUCUGUUCCAGCUCUUCUGUUUUUUGGCAAGUGCAUGUGAGUUUCUGGAUGACUUAUACUGAUUUUAGAUCAAGCAUGAGACUCAGAAUAGUUACUGGGUGACAUAAAAUGACAGAAACACCUUUGUACUGAGCGGAACUUCUGUGUUGGUGAAAUGAUAAAUAUAAAUGCAAAC